rnacentral:rRNA from 1 species
AGCCUUAAGAUUAUAUUUAAGGUGAUGCCUGCCCAGUGCUAAUAUCGUAAACGGCCGCAGUACCUUGACUGUGCUAAGGUAGCAUAAUCAGUUGGCUUUUAAAUGGAGUCGGGAAUGAAUGGAUUUAUAGGGUUAAGCUGUCUCUGUUAUAUUUUCUUGAACUUGUUUAUUUAGGUGAAAAUACCUAAUUUUUGAUAAAAGACGAGAAGACCCUAGGAGUUUUAACUAGUAUCAAUAUUAAAUUGUAUAAUGUUUUUGUUGGGGCGACAUAGGAACAUAAUUAACCUCCUUAAUUUUAUUUACCGACUUAAUGUAUAAAUAUUUAAACUACCCUAGGGAUAACAGCGUUAUUCUUUUUAGAGUUUGCGACCUCGAUGUUGGACUAGGAAUUUGAUUGGCUAGCCGCCAAUUUUUAUUGUUCUGUUCGAACUUAAUUUCCUACAU